rnacentral:rRNA from 1 species
CCGGGGCAUCCCGGAGGCAGGAAAGGCUUCGGCCGGACAGGGAUGGGCAUGCGGCGCAUUAGGCAGUAGGCGGGGUAACGGCCCACCUAACCGACGAUGCGUAGGGGUUCUGAGAGGAAGGUCCCCCACACUGGUACUGAGACACGGACCAGACUCCUACGGGAGGCAGCAGUGAGGAAUAUUGGUCAAUGGUCGGGAGACUGAACCAGCCAAGCCGCGUGAGGGAUGAAGGUACAGAGUAUCGUAAACCUCUUUUGUCAGGGAACAAAGGCGGGGACGUGUCCCCGGAUGAGUGUACCUGAAGAAAAAGCAUCGGCUAACUCCGUGCCAGCAGCCGCGGUAAUACGGAGGAUGCGAGCGUUAUCCGGAUUUAUUGGGUUUAAAGGGUGCGCAGGCGGUCUGUUAAGUCAGCGGUCAAAGCCCGGGGCUCAACCCCGGCCCGCCGUUGAAACUGGCAGUCUCGAGUUGGAGAGAAGUAUGCGGAAUGCGCGGUGUAGCGGUGAAAUGCAUAGAUAUCGCGCAGAACUCCGAUUGCGAAGGCAGCAUGCCGGCUCCACACUGACGCUGAGGCACGAAAGCGUGGGUAUCGAACAGGAUUAGAUACCCUGGUAGUCCACGCAGUAAACGAUGAAUGAUGGCUGUCCGGG